rnacentral:rRNA from 1 species
UACAGAGGGUGCGAGCGUUGUUCGGAAUUAUUGGGCGUAAAGGGCGCGUAGGCGGCGCCACAAGUCACCUGUGAAAACUCUGGGCUCAACCCAGAGCCUGCAGGCGAAACUGUGGUGCUGGAGUAUGGGAGAGGUGCGUGGAAUUCCCGGUGUAGCGGUGAAAUGCGUAGAUAUCGGGAGGAACUCCGGCGGCGAAAGCGGUGCACUGGUGGAUUACUGACGCUGAGGUGCGAAAGCCAGGGGAGCAAACGGG